UUCUCACUAACCUUGGAUGUUCUUCAGAACUUGCUCCUCUGGAACAUAUAUCUUCUCAAGGGUUUUUCCAAUCUUCUUUUCCCAUAAGGAGACAAUUUCGUUGAAUGAGUAGGUGUUCUGAGGAGGCCUGAUGUAAAGGAUUUUGUUCAAGGUUCUAGGAUCAUCCGCAGCUUUAAUGGUAUAGGUGCCAAUGUCAUCCUCCUUGUUAAAAACAGCUGGAGAUGCAAAAAUGAAAUGAGUAAAAUAGAGUAGAAUCAUCUUCCUAUUCCUUCAAGCUUGGACUACUCCGUAAUUCCACUUUUUUUGUUUACAGAACACAAACUUGAAAUUAUUUUGAUAUGAAACCAAGUUAUUGUUUUCAUUUAAUGCUCAUGUCAAAAACUCUCAGCUGGAGAGCAACCCAAGAGGACUGUCAAUAUAAAAAAAGAGGCUUUAGCCCAUCCAGUUCAGAUAAUAAUGAUUAAUUACUAGAAGUGCACAAUGGUUCCUCAGUUUGACCACUCCAGGUCACAUGGAUCAUGCUAGUUUCCUGUAUUAUGGCUCAAUUGCAAUGUAGCACCCAAGCAGUCAACCUCAACUGUCGGAAGGUUUUGUUUCUGGGUGAACGGGUUUAACCAGCUGGGGAAAGGGGGAGUGGGGUGGGGUUGUCCAGGUUUCAAAUAGCCACAUUCUGAUUUUCAGGAAUAUAGACCAUUCUCACCUCAACAACGCUGGCAACCCCAUCAAUUUUUUUGCCUGGAGAAGGAUAAUAUGCAGCUAUUGGUUGGUGAAAUGGUAAAUUACACUCUCAAAAGGAUUCCAUGCUCAUCUACAUAACCCGCUGAUUAGUAUUACUUUUUAAGCCCACUAUCAUCAGAUGUCACUGAUACAUGGACCGGUGCAUUCUAACAUCAAAACGAGAAAAUGCAAUGGGAAAUUAAGUUGUAUGAUUUUCAGAGGUUGCUUACCUUUUGGAUUCCCAUCUCCUAAAAUAAUAACUUUAUCCCUGGGGGGAGCGGUGGCUCCAGGCUGUGAAAAUGUAGGAAGGAAAAAGCCAGCAAAUGUGUUGGAGGACACAUAGGUGUAGGGAAUUCCUUCAGCCUCAAUAGUGCGGCGGAUUUGAGCCUUUAUCUCAAAGGCUGUUUUUGCUGGCUCAACCGCAUGUACACGGUCCACAUCAUUUCCAAACUCUGAUGGGAAGAAUCUCUGGAUGAAAUAAAGCACUUUAAGAAGAAGCUGUAUAACUCAAUAGAUUGAAAAACGGGUCAUAUCUAUUUAGUCAUAUUAGCUCACGACAGGGAUCCUAUAUGGGAUACACUUUGACGAACUUGAUACAAGUGUUCAGCAACCAUAAAGACAUACAAUUAGCAAUUCAAACGAUGGAAGGAAAGAGUGCACUGAUCAGGAUUCUUAAAAAGUGAAAGAAAAAACCAUGUAAGAAAUGUGAAAAAAAAAACUACCAAACUUCAUUCAUAGAAGGAAAAUGCGCACUAAUCAGGAUGCUUAGAAGAUGGAAGAAUAAAAACUAAAUGAAAACAGGAGAAAAAAAAAAAAAAAAACUUCAUUCUUGUUUAGUUGUCUUGCUGCUUUUUGAAGCCUUUUGUAUACCAUUUGUCUACAUUGGGUGUGCUGUCUUUUUUUGUUAGGCGCUUCUCUGUUAAUAUAGUUUGUUUUUAGCCUAUCAAAAAAAGGGGGGGGGGGGGGUGGUGGUUGUGGGUGUAUACAAUGGAUUGGAAGUGGUAUAGCAUGCCCCAUGAAAGGGAAUUAGUAUUUAAAAUUUUUUCCUUUUUACAUCAAAAAUUAAGAUUGACUUUAAAGCAUCGAUCCAACCUGAGUCAAUGCACAUGGAUCUAGACAAGAAUCAAGAUUGUUGAUCCUCAAUGAAUAUUGUAUAUAUGGAAUGUUCUUUCAUGCACUUCCAACAUUUCUAAAGAAGGUAUUAUUACAUUAUGCACAAAGGAUAAAGAUAUCACCAACAAAUUAUAACAAAUUCCAAUAAUAAAUAUCAUAGUACUCGGAUUUGCAAAGAAAAGAGGGAAUUAGAAAGAAGAAAAGGAGAAAAGGAGAGAAAUUUCGUCAAUUUGGACAACUUUACCUUGACAUUUCCAGCUUCUUUGAUGGCAGCAAUGAUCUUGACUUGAUCCGACAACUGUGCGCGACCAACGGUCGAGAUGACCACAUCCACUAGAUUAAUCGCCUUCACCAAACUCUCGUGAUCGUAUAGAUCACCCUGCAACAUAACAUAACCAAUCAAUAAACUAUUUCAUAACCCUAAUUCCCCAGUUAAGAAGUAAGAAUCCAAAAGCAGGUGUGUUUUUUCACUUUACUGAAACCAAAAUAACUUAAAACAUAAACAUCCGAACUUUUCUUUUCCUGAGGAUCGCCACUUUUUUCUUUCUGGAUGAAUGAAGAAUUCCAGUUUUCGUUUUUUUAGGAACUUAAACAUCCAAAAAUUCAAGAACUCCAAUUAAUUUCAUUCAUUUUCUCGGCGGCCAAAAGAAGCAAAAAUUAGAAAACCAAGAAUAGCGAGAAAUGAGAGCGAAUAUUACGUACAUACACCAAAGUCACGCCGGAGCUCUUGAAAAUCUCAAUGAUUUCCGACUUGGAAGGAUUCGAAACGGCGGAUUCUCUGACGAGAGCGAAGGUAGGGUGACCGGACUUAGCGCUGGCAGCGACGAUGAAUUUUCCGAUGUAGCCAGUGCCGCCGAUUAUGAGAAUCUUGCUCUUUUCGGACAUUGUGAGCUUUUCCGGCGAAUCUCCCGCGAGAAAUGUGGAAUUGAGAGGACUAAGCGAAAGGUGACUGGAGAGUUGGUGGGCACCAACGGCCAAAGACAAUGCUCUUGUAGGACAGAGCUCGAGGAUAUUAGGAUUAUGUAAUUACGGAACUAGCCUUGUGUUUUGGUGGUAAUCUCCGUUUUGGUUAUAUUUUGAAUGUGGCUUGAUUUUUAUGUGAUUCAUGAAUGUGUCAAAGUUCGCUUGUUUGAAAAUUGGUUUAGAUUGGAAAGUGAAAAAGUGUAUAUCACAUGAGAGAUUUAUAAAUAGAAAAAAAUGUAUUUUCACACACUAAUGUAAAAAUAAUUACAAAAUAAAAACUCUUUAAAUAAUUAUAAAAUAAAAACCCUUUAAAAAUAAUUUAAAUUUUAUGCACUCAUCGAGUACAUGAAAUGAUAAUUUAAUAUAGUUAUGUGUAACGACCCGCUCUCCCAAUAAUGACUCCCCUAGCUUUAAAAAAACGUCUUUAGGAUUAAGAUUGAUACUAUUUAUAAUAACUCGUAAAACCUAAAAAGGUCAUCACGACUUUAAAAUGCGUUUGCAAGAUUAAAAAAAAAUAAAAAAAAUUAUACUUAGAUAGUGUUAGGAACUUUCUCCCCUAUCUGAUGUGUGAUGUUACAAAUAUCCCCCAUGCAGACACAACAUCCUUGUUGUAUCUCAUGGAAUUGUGGAAUUAGAAUGAUAAUUUAAUGUAAUUAUGUGUAACGAUCCACCCUAUUUGAUGUGGGAUGUCACAAAUAUCCUCAUGCAGACACAACGUCUUUGUUGUAUCUCAUGGAAUUGUGGAGUUAAAAUGAUAAUUUAAUGUAGUUAUGUGUAAUGACUCGUUGUCCCAAUCAUGUAGAUAUUAUUCGUUUUGGACCCAAAAAAUGACUUUCCUGACUUUAAAAAAACGUCUAUGUGAUUAAGAUUGAUAUCGUUUAUAAUAACUCGCAGAACCUAAAAAGGUCCCCACGACUUUAAAAUGUGUUUACAAGAUUUUUAAAAAAAAUUAUACUUAUAUAGUGUUAGGAACUUUCUCUCCAUAUGAUGUGAGAUGUCACAAACAUCCCUAUGCAGACACAACGUCCUUAUUAUAUCUCAUGGAAUUAUGGAGUCAAAUAGACAAACACUCCCUAUGAGGCAAACAAACUCCCACACCGAAAUCAGAGAUCAAUUCCGAUAUUAUUUGUAACGAUCUACUCUCAAUUAUAUAAAUAUUGUCCAUUUUAAUCCGAAAGGGCAUUACAGUUUUAAAACGUGUGUACAGGAUUAAGAAAAGCCUUUACAUAUACAGUGUCAUGAUUUUUUUUUUCCUAUCGGAUGUGAGAUGUCAUAUUAUGAAUCCGUCAUUCUGUCUUUAUUCAUUUGUUGCAUUUAAGAUAUUUGAAAAAUUGAGCGAUUUUAUAAAAUGAGUUUUGAAAAGGCAUGAGAGAAGGAAAAAGAUACUAGUUUAAUUAAGGCUUACAACCCGGUCUUCUUAAAGGGUGGUUAAAUUCCCUGCCUAUUAAAUUUCUUAUCAGGUCGUUAGUCAAUGGAUCUAUUAAAUUCUAGUAUGACUUUGUAGAGUAGUAAUUACUCCAUGGGUGAGUAAUUAUUAAUAUGUAGCUGGGAUCAUUAGUAUAUUUUACUACAUUUCCAAUAGAAAAUGCUACCUCAAAUAAGUUACAUGUCUCCGCGAGACACUCAAGAAUUUCAGCAUAUUCCAAGACUUGACUUCCAAGUUAGCCAAAAGACAUGGAUAUGAGAUUUCAAUUGAAAUGAUUAAACCUUUUUAGAAUGUUUUCACUAUAAUUUCAUCGGCACAAAAAAAUAAUUAUAAAACACUAAAAUCUCUUUUAAAAACAUGUCUUUUAUUUUUAAAUUUAAACACUUACUCAUCAUUUUUAUUAGGAAUGAUAAUGAGACAAGUUUUUUUAGAUAUUUGUCUGCCUUGUUCUUAAUGAAAUGGGUUUAAAAUUUAAAUAAACGAAAUUAGAAUGAAUUUGGGAUUUUUUUAAAAACUUGGUACUAGCUAUUGUCUUUUCUCAUCCUAUCUAAAUUAUAUAUAAAAUUAAUUUAGUUUUAUUUUUAUUUCCCUAUUUGAUAUAUAUAUAUAAUUAUUUAUAAAAUACAUUUAUUUUAAUGUAAUUAAAUUUAAAAAAAUCAAAAUAAAUAAAUAAAUAAGACGAGAUGGGCAUGAAAAAUUCACAUACCUACCUUAUUUAAUUUUUUAAAUAAGAUAGAAAUGAGAAUUAUUUUGAAUAAACAAGAUAAGGUUGAAAUGAGAUCAACUCGUCUUAAACUAGUCUCGUUGCUAUCUCUAUUUUUUAUACUUUUUUAGUUGAAAGGGAUAAAUGAAUUAAAGUUAAGGAUUAAGAUUAAAUAUUCUACUUUACAAAAAAAAAAAUGAGACUAUUAAAUAUUAUUAGAAUUUUAUCAACUAGUCAUAAGAGUUUAAAAAAGAAAAUAUUGAUGAACAAUUCGUAGGAGGAAAUGAAUUGAGAAUAAAUUGACCUAGUGAACCUUCAGUUGCAUUGCCUCCUACUAUGUUCCACUUAUUCAGAAACGAAAGAGAAAGGAUGAGGGAUCUAUAACUAUAAGUUAAAAGGACAAAGGAUCAGGACAAAUAGAGGAUAUAUAUUAUGAGAUAUUAUUUCUAAUAGAAUAUGAUAUUUUAAAAUAUUGCAUUUAAUAUCAUUUAGAAAUUCUUCUCUUAUUUUUAUUUUAAUAAAUAAUUUUUAGUAUUUUAGUAAUAAUGUUUAUGAUUAUAAAUAAUAUAUAUAUAUAUAAAAUUAUAUUAUAUACUAAUAUGCUAAAUAUUUAAAAGCAUUACUAGUAAUUAAAUGAUACUAUAUAUUAAUAUGAUCAUUAUAAAUUUUAUUAUACAUAUAUUUUUUAAUUCUUUUAUUAAGAAGAAUAAAUUUAUAAUGUCAGUUAUACCUUAGGAUUGUUGUAUUUAACAUAUAGAGAUACAAAAGCGAGGAAAAAUGCAAAAGAAACUAUGAUUGAGUUAUUCUAUCAUUUACCGACCAAACAUGAUACAAAAUAUAUUAUCUCAUCUUUUAUCUUAUAUUAUAUUAUAUUCAACAAACUAAACAUAACAUAAUAGACCGACAUUCUAUCAAAUUUCUCGUAUUGUGAUUUUAAAACUUGAAUAGUUCAUGAACUAAACAUUAUUGCCUUUUCUUGUCUCAAUGGAAUAAGCGUUUUAAUUGUUCUAUAUGCAUUUCUUCAUCAAGCUCCCUCUUUUGAGCUAGAAAUAUUAUAUUAGGAGCUAGGUACUCCUUUUUGUAUAGCUCCAUCUCUAAUAAGGUACCAAAGAAGAUAAACUACAAAGGCAAAGAAAAUCUAAUUCCAGAAACUUCUACUUGCAUAAGAUUAGAAAGGCACAUUGUCCUAUUACAGAAUAUGCCCAAUGGCAUAGACAAGGAAAUAACCCACUAUUUUCCACACAACAUAUAUUAAGACAGCUGCACAUGUUUGCUUGUUUAGAUAGUGCAGCAUGACAGUGAAAACUACCAGGACCGAAGUCUACCUCUCAAACAAGCUGGUUGAGCAACUCAUCCACAGUUGUGUAUUUGACAUCGGGAUAUAGCUCUGAAGCCUCCACCCCAAAUGAUGGCUCGAUCUCAAAGUUGGUUUGGUCUCCCUUAAUGAAAACAGAGUGAUCGAUUGAUAAUAUUGCAUUGAGUGGAGCAGAGGCUUCUGCAAGAAACAGAGGAAAACCCAUCAAUAUGAAGAUUUUAGCCAUCAGAUCAACUAUAUAAACAGAUUUUGGGGCGAAAAUAGCCUCUAUAACUGAAAAAUUAUCAUAUGUGGAUACCUUCUUUAACUUAUUAUCAAGCUAGGCCUCUUCAUGUCACCUUGGAGUCAUUUAAUUUAAUUUUUUCCUUUUUAAAUGUAAGUUGAAAAUGCAUUUUGAAAAGAGUGUUUGGACACACGAGUCAAAAUAAUUAUCAAAUUGUAAAAAUAACCCUUUUUUCAAUUUUGUUGAGAGAUCCCAGCAGUCAAAAUAAUCAUAUAAUCAAACCCAGUCUUUUUCUUCCCAACCUUUUUUUUUUUGGCCUUAUCUUAAACUUGCUCUAUUUCUUUUUCAUUUAAGACACUCCAGAAAAACUCAAUCUCAUUUCAUAAUGUCCCACUGAAUUUUCUUAUCUCUCAAACAACUUCUCAUUCUCAUUCGUGAUGUUCACCUAAAGUGUUCUAUGAUUAAAUUUUAUUUAUUACGAAUUUAACUAAGGUGAAAUUUUCAUUAAGAUUGGUUAGCUGAAUUGCACUAGUGUUAUGUUUGGUUGUAAAAAACUUAGUUAGAGUUAAAUUUUCAAUCAUAAUAGUAAUAUGAACUCCACUAUGGUUAAGUUUUAUUUACAAAAAACUUAAGUGGGGUUAGAUUUCUAUUUCAUCUACAAAGAACCUGAUUAUGGUAACUUGAACAAUCCUCUGGUUAAGUUUCAUUUAGAAAGAACUUGAUCAGGGUUAAGUUUCCAUUUCACCUAUAAAGAACUUAAGUAAGAUCAAGGUCUUAAUUAAAAUGUUCAUUUGCAUUGAACUACCAAAACAUCGGACUUAGUAAAAACAAAGUUAGAUGAGAGAUCUAGUAAAUGAUAAGUUUCUAUCUGAUCUCGUCGUCAACAUUGUAGAAGUUCAAAUGAAAUUGCAAAAUAACCCUAAUAAAAAAAAAAUUAGAAAAAACCUCUAACCAAAAACAAUGACAAAAAACAAAACUAAAAACAAAGAGAAAGACGAGAUUCGAUCUCAUUUUCGUCACUAUAGAAACUUACAUGAAACUACAAAAAACCUUAGCAAAAAACAACGACGAAAAACAAAGAGAGAUGGAGAUCUGACCUCAUCUUCUAUAUUGUAGAAGUUCAAAUGAAGUUGCAAAACCCCUAACAAAAAACAACUCCUAAAAUUUGAAAUAGAUAAGGCUCUAAUCUUUGUUCAAGGGUUUGAACUUCACCAGAAAAAGAGAUAGAACAUGAACUUAGAGAGAAGGAGAAGGCUAGGUAUAAAAAAAUGGAAGGGGCAUUUUUGGAGGAAAGAAAGAAGAGUAAAAAUGUCCAAAAUUGGUCAUUUCUCAAAGGGAAGUCAUUAUUUCGAUUUUAAAAGCAUUUUAGUCGACUUCAAUCGAGGUCCGGGGCAUGAUCACCAGAUUUUACCAGCAGGUCAGCUAACAUUUUCUAAGUUAAAAACAAUUUAACCAAGAACCAAUUUCAUUUUAACAAUCUAGCAUAAAGAGAAUGUUCUAUUCACAAUCUCUGUUCCAAUUUAAAUUCACUAGGAAAACCAAAACUUGAACACUUCCAAAAAGGAAAAUGUUUCUCACUAACCUUGGAUGUUCUUCAGAACUUGCUCCUCUGGAACGUAUAUCUUCUCAAGGGUUUUUCCAAUCUUCUUCUCCCACAAGGAGACAAUUUCGUUGUAUGAGUAGGUGUUCUGAGGAGGCCUGACGUAAAGGUUUUUGUUCAAGGUUCUAGGAUCAUCCACAGCUUUAAUAGUAUAGGUGCCAAUGUCAUCCUCCUUGUUAAAAACAGCUGGAGAUGCAAAAGUGAAAAUGAGUAAGAUAGAAUAGAAUCACCUUCUUAUUCCUUCAAGCUUAGACUACUCUGUAAUUCCACCUUUUUUCUUUUACAAAACACAAACUUAAAAUUAUUUUCAUAUGAAACCAAGUUAUUGUUUUCAUUUAAUGCUUAUUUUUUCAAAAACUCUCAGUUGGAAAGCAAACCCCAGAGAACUGUUGAUAAAAAAAAGAGGCUUUAGCCCAUCCUGUUCAGUUUAAAACCCAAUAAUAAUUAUUAGUUACUGGAAAUGCAUAAUGGUUCCUUCAGUUCAACCCCUCCAGGUCACCUGGAUCAUGCUAGUUUCCUGGAUUAUGGCUCAACUGCAGUGUCACACCCAAGCAGUUGACCCCAGCUGUCCGGUUUUCAAAUAGCCACAUUUUGGUUUUCAGGAAUACAGACCAUUCUCACCUCAACAACACUGGCAACCCCAUCAAAUUUUCUGCUUGGAGAAGAUAAUAUGCAGCUAGUGGUUGAUGAAUGCACAUUCAAAUAACCCAUUGAUUAGUAUUACCUUUUAAGCCCACUAUCAUCAGAUGUCAUUGAUCAUGGGAGCGAGUGCAUUCUAAGGUCAAAAGAAGAAAAUGAAACAGAAUUUCAGUUGUUUUACGAUUUUCAGAGGUUGCUUACCUUUUGGAUUACCAUCUCCUGGAAUAAUAAUUUUAUCCCUGGGGGGACCAGUGGCUCCAGGCUGUGAUAAUCUAGAAACGAAAAAGGCAGCGGUGGCUUCAAGCUGUGAUAAUCUAGGAAGGAAAAAGCCAGCAAAGAAGUUGGAGGACACGUAGGUGUAGGGAAUCCCUUCAGCCUCAAUAGCGCGGCGGAUUUGAGCCUUUAUCCCAAAUGCUGUUUUUGCAGGGCCAACCGCAUGGAUACGGUCCACAUCAUUUCCAAACUCUGAUGGGAAGAAUCUCUGGAGGAAAUAAAGCACUUUGAGAAGAAGUCAUAUGACUUGAUAGAUGAAAAACCACUCAUAUCUAUUUAGUCAUAAUAGCUCACAGACAGGGAUCAUCCAUGGGAUACACUAUGAUGAACUUGAUACAAGUGUUCAGCAAGAAUAAAGUUACACUUAGCAAUUCAAAUGAUGGAAGGAAGAAGUGCACCGAUCAGGAUGCUUAAAAAGUGAGAGAAAAAACUAAAUGGAGAAGGUGAAGAAAAAAGCUACCAAACUUCAUUCAUGAAAGGAAAAAGUGCACCAAUCAGGAUGCUUAAAAAGUGGAAGAAAAAACUAAAAGAAAAAAGGUAAAAAAAAAAAAAAAAAAAACCCACCAAACCUCAUUCUGUCCUGAAUCACUUCAGUUUUAAUUUUUAAUUUUUAAUUAUUUAAUUAGUGCUCAAAACAUUUGACACUAUUAAAUUAGUCAUUUGACAUAAUGUAUAUGAUGUUAUCCAAUACCCUAUGUUUGUUGCAUAAGUAUAGUCUCCUUACACAUGGGUUCAAUAAAUUGAGAAAAUGAAUAAACGGUGAAGUUUGAACAAAUGAUUUCCAACCAAAAAAAGGAUCUUAUGCCAUGUUGGACAACCGAUUUACCUAAAACUUAAGUUGUUAGGAUUUAAGCCCACGGUGUAUAUCAUGUUGCCCAUCAGUAUCUAUAUCCAACGAAAGGUCAAGAACCUCCUUGAAACGAUCCUAUUCUAACUUGCCCCUAGCUGCCAAACCCUCAAGGGCAUUAGCCUAAGGGCACAAAGUCAAUAUAGCUCAAGAACCUUCCUGAGAUGUUCCUAUUCCAGCUGACCCUAGCGGCUAGAUCUUCAAGGGCAUUAGCCUAAGGGUGCAAAGUAAAAACCAAGUUUGAGAACCUCCUUGAAAGGACCCGAUUAUAAUUGGUCCCUGGCAGCUAGGCCUUCAGGGACAGAGCAUAUGAGUGUAAAGCCAUUCCAGGACAAGAACCUCCUUAGAAGGACCCCAUCACAAUAGACCCCUAUUGGAGCCUAAGAACAAAAAAUGAAUAAUCAUAUGAAGAAAUAAUAAAACAAAGCAUAAAAGAUAGAAGAGAAGAUAAAAAUAACAAUAUCCUAUGCCACCUCAUUGUCCCCUCCUUCCUUGGAUGAUGCCUCGCUUUUAUCAUUGUCCUCCUCAUCGAUUUCCCCCAAGGCCUUCAUUCGACCCAUGAGCUUGUCGACUUUCAAAAAAUGCUCUUGCAUUAUUGAACCUUAUGAAUAAAAUUAUCUUUUACCACUGUCCACAAAUGAUUUUUUUUUUAAAAGAAUGGCUUUGUCUUAGAGUUCUAUCCUUUUCUUUCUGUUUCUCAUGGAUAAAAAAAACCCCAACCCAAAUAUUUUUUUAUAACAAGGAUAAUUUUUUAUACCUAAAGAAUUAAAAUCGACUUUCAAACACCUAAGCGUUGAGACUCAACUCAAUCCAACCUCAGUCAAUUAACAUGGAUCCAGCAAGAAAAGAUUGUUCAUCCUCAAUGAAUAUUGUGAAGAUGGAAUGUUCUUCCAUGCCUUUUCAACACUCUCAACAUUUCUAAAGAUGGUAUUACUACAUCAUGCGCAAAGGAUAAAGGAAUUACCGACAAAUUAUUACAAAUUCCAAUAAUAAAAAUCAUAGGAACUUGUAUUUGCAAAGAAGAGAUGGAAAUAGAAAGAAGAAAAGGAGAGGAAGAGAUUUCGUCAAUUUGGACGACUUUACCUUGACAUUUCCAGCUUCUUUGAUGGCGGCAAUGAUCUUGACUUGAUCCGAGAACUGUGCGCGACCAACGGUCGAGAUGACCACAUCCACUUGCUUAAUCGCCUUCACCAAACUCUCGUGAUCGUGUAGAUCUCCCUGCAACAUAACAGAACCAAUCAAAAAACUAUUUCAAAGCUGUAAUUCUUCAAUAAGAAGUAAGAAUUCAAAAAUUGGUGUGUGUUUCCACUUUGCUGGAACCAAAGCAAAUCAAAACAUAAACAUCCAAAAUUUUCUUUUCUUUUCCUGCGAAACACUACUUUUUCUUUCUUUCUGGAUGAGUGAAGAGUCUCAGUUUUCUUUUUCUUAGGAACUUAAACUUCCAACUCCAAUGAACUUCGUUCAUUUUCUCCGCGGCCAAAAGAAACAAAAACUAGAAAAGAAAAAAUGGCGAGAAAUGAGAGCGAACAGUACGUACAUAUACCAAAGUCACGCCGGAACUCUUGAAACUCUCAAUGAUUUCCGACAUGGAAGGAUUCGAAACGGUGGAUUCUCUGACGAGAGCGAAGGUAGGGUGACCGGACCUAGCGCUGGCAGCGACGAUGAAUUUUCCGAUGUAUCCAGUGCCGCCGAUGAUGAGAAUCUUGCUCUUUUCGGACAUUGUGAGUUUUUCCGACCAAUCUCCGGCAAGAAAUGUGGAAUUGGAAAAGGCUAGCAAGCAGUAAGCAAUGACGACUGACGAGUAGUGCAGUACUGCAGUGUUCUUAUAUAACAAAGCUUGAGGCUAUAUAGAUUAUGUAAUUACGAAACUAGCCUUUUCUUUCAGCAGUAAUUCCCGCUUUGGUCAUCAUAUGUAUGUGGCUCGAUCUUUGUAUGAUUCACGUGUCCCGAUUCAUAUUUGUUUGAAAAUCGGCUUAGAUUAGUCCAAUUUACAAGACUACACCAUCUUUAAUUUGACAAGAGCAUAUAAUAUAUAUAUAUAUUGUAGCAAUCAUUAAUAUUUUAUUUUAUUUUUGGCACGUGUAAUUUUAUCUCUAGCUCCCAUAUCUUAUUUUAUUGCACACUUUUGACUCCGUUUGGCCAUAUUGAUAUAUAUCAUAGAUUUGCCUUAGAUUUUGGUUAAUAAAAUUUUAAUCAUUAUUGCACGUUUUUAUUCUCCACCCAUGUUUAAUAGUAUAUUUUAGAGACUUAUCGUGGAUAACCACCCCUUCACCUCUCCUACUGAAUUGUCAUUUGAUAUUGCUUGGGGAUCCCACAGAGUUGUCUAGUUGAUAGGUUGAUAAAAUUUACAUGCACGGUCAUUUUCAUGUCCUUAAAGCAAAUACAAAUUAAAAUGUGAUCGAUUGAUGCUAAGAUUUGAAUUUAUCUAUUUAAUAUAAAAUUGUCAUGGUCAAAUGUUUAUUGCUACUCCACGAUAGAAUGAUGAUUUUUAUUUUUGUGACAGUAACAUUUCAAAUUAUAAAAAACAAUGAAUUAAACAAUAUUUUUAUAUUCUUUACAAAAUCUUGGAUGUUUAAAAUUAGACCCUUUAAAUAGACACGUGACUUAAAUGGAAUACCAUAUUUGGGAAUGCACUACACUUAACUUGGAUUGGAAUAUAAUUCAAAAUGGAUAACAAUUAGGAAUGCACCAUGCUUAUUUGGAAUUAAGGGAGAGAGGGAUGACUGUUGGAAUCAUGAAAUGUUAUGGAACGGACCCCUUUUUAAAGAUGUAGAUGUCCCUUAAAGAAACGCUUCCAUCAAAAGAGUUGCACCUAACUAAUAAGAGAUGGGAAUGACUUCCAAAAAAUGUAUCACUUCAUGUUGGUGGCCUUUUUAUUAAACCUAGAAGCAUGUGGGGUUAGGCUCACACAUAUCUGGUGUGGCUUGUGCACAUGUGAGCCUAUGUUAGGCCCAAGUCCACAUUCAUCUAGUUGGAUAUAUGCAUAUGUGAGUUUAUGUAAAAACCCAUGUUUUCUUUUAAGCUUACAAAAUACUUGUAAAGUACCUUUUCGACUAGUGAUCUUCUAAGAAACGCUUCCAUCAAAAGAGUUGCACCUAUCUAAUAAGAAAUGGAAAAGGCGUCUAAAGAAGAUCUCACUUUAUGUUGUUGGUGACCUUUUUUCAAUGUUUUUAAAAUUGGACCGAUUAUUAAAUAUAAAAAAAUUACUCAUUCACGGUUCAUUAAUCGGACUGACAGUUGAACCAGUAACGUCAUAAAUAUAUAAUUUAUAAAUUAUUAAAAUAAAAAUAAAAAUGUAUGUAUUGUUUAAAAAUUAAAAUUUUAUUUGAAAAUCAGAAAAUUAGUUUUAAAAUUAAAAUUAAAAUUAAAAUCAUGGGGGGGAGGGGGAGGGGAGGGGGUUCGUUCUGCCAGUGAGAGAGCGACGUCCGACCAAUCAGCAAUUGACGAUAGUGGGAAGAAGCAGCUAGGGUAGUAGGGUAAGAGGGGUUAUUGGAAAAAAUAAUAAUAAUAAAAGAAAGGUUGAACGGUUCAAUGGUCAAAUCGUCGGUUCAAUCGGUCUAAUUCUGGUUUGACUACUUUUCGACCUAAUUCAUCAAACCAAACCGAAAUUGUGACUUGCUGGUUCGAUCCAAUUUUUAAAACCGUGUAUUUUUAUUAAACCUAAAAGGUGGGUGUAGGAUCACACCUAUCCAAUGUGGCUUGUGCACACGUGAGCCUAUGUUACGCCCAUGUACACAUUCAUCCAAUUAGGUCCAUGCAUAUGUGAGUUGAGGUUAAAAACCAUGUUUUCUUUUUACCUUACAAAAUACUUAUAAAGUACUUUUUCUGACUACUAAUCUUCUAAUGUGGGAUUGCUUUUUUCCACCACAUUCCACAUGAAUGCAUAGGUAACUUUGAGCUCAAUUUGUCAUUAACCCAUAAAUGGUUUUGAGUAUGUAAAUUUCUUAUCCACCAAUACCUACUCGUGCAGACGUUAUUGGUUAUCAUUUGGAGAAAGGUGUCCAACCUAUUGAUUGUUGUAAUUUAGAUUGUCCCAAUUCUAAUAGUUGUGGUUUUAAGGCCUAGAAUUGUUUCGUUGAUUCUCAUCUUAACCCUUCUCUUUAUUCAAUGACUUCCCUUGAAAGUAUUAUUUGAUGAUCUCCUAUCAGGGGGUUGGUCUCUUUCUUAUCUUCUCUUCUUUUUAAAUAGUCCAUUACCUUAUCAUGCAAUUCUUUAAAUGAGAUAGCAGUAUCACAAGCUCUCACAACAACAGUGGUCUCUUUGUAUUUUGAACCUAAUUCAUUGAGAGUGUAAACCACCAGAUCAUCAUUGUGCAAGAGUGAACUAAUAAUAGUAAGUUCAUCAACAAUACUUUCGAAGAUUUGGAUGUAUUCACUAAUAGUUUUUUGUUCUUUGAUCGUUUUUAUAGCCUUUCCCAUGAGGUUAGGAUGCAUGACCUUGAGUAAUUGGCAUUAAGUUUUUUUGGGUGAGACCAUGACUCUAAUGCCUUAGUAGCACAAACCACAAAACAAAAAUAGACUCCAAACUACAAUCUAACAUGAGAUGAAAUAACAAAUUAUUUUAAGGUUAAUUUUGUUGACUUUCCAUGAGGUUUUGACUAAAUAUAUUUAGUUCAUAUUAGUUUGAAAUUUCAUCAAAUACCUCCUCUACCCUUCUCACAAAUUAUUUCACUUACCUGUCUUCUAACUCAAAAUAAAGGAAGUAUUUGACGAUAUUUUAAAUUUAUAAAAACUAGGUAUAUUUAACCAAAACUUGAGGGAAAGUAAGUGAAAUUAACCUAAUUAUCUUACUUUUAAUAUAGCCAAUAUUCCAUAUCUCGUAUUGGUACUUUCCUUCUCCUUUCAAAUUGUUGUAGAAGGGCAAAGAUAUGACCGUUGUUACAUGUGCUAAAUCAUAGUAGUAUAUAAAGAAGCAUGCGGAACUAAACUCUUCACAAUGGAAAGUUUUUAAUCGUAGUUACAUCACUACAUCAAUCAACUCUGUGGUGCUAAUUUGGUAAAAUGUCAAAAGACUUUGACCCAUUAAAGGUAAAAAAGAAUAAAAAUAAAAAUUUGUUGUAGCAAUGGAUACUCUAAAACCAUAAAUACAAAGAAUUUAUAUAACCUAUCACUCGUAUUAUUUUACAUUGUAUAAGUUUACAAUAGAAAUGAUCGACUAAAUAUACAUUGGUAAUAUUAUAGCUUAGGGUCAAAUGUCAUGCGUUAUGAAUGUAAAGAAAAAUUGAACUUGAUGAUUUGGUUGAGCCUUUAUUUGCCAUUAAUAUAUGCCUUUAUGGACUGUCCACUGUAAAUUCCUUUCACUCCUCUCAUUGAAGAAUGAAACUCCACACUUUAUUCAAGUUUAAAAUGUUUUCUUGCAUAUUAAGGAGGAAAUUAAAAAAUAAAUAAAUAAAUAAAGGAAAGGAAAAUGAUCCGUUAAAAAACUAUAUUAUGAAUGUUAGAUAUCUUAAAAAACAAAAAAAUAUAUAUUUGUAGACCCCAUUUUGGGGAGCUGUCAUUUUUCUCACGUUUCCUUUCUUGCAGCUAGCUGUGGCCAAGUGUCACCAUCUUGCAUGGCCACGUGUCACUCCCGGAUUAGUCAAUAUGGGAUCAAAAUAGUGGAAUUGAUGGACCCAUCAGAGGAAGACACCUGGAAAGUGAAGAACAUUCUGGAAUCAGGGGAGCGUAUCUUCUGUUAUGGGAAGGUUGCCAGCUGCAGGAGUAGAGGAGUGGAGGCUGGUUGCUGCAGAGAGAGUGGAGGCUGGCAGAGGAGUGGAGGAGAGGUUUUGCUUUUGAAAAGGCCGUUAGAGAUAUUUUUAGGAUGAGGCAGCGGCAUUGAAGGGGAGAGUUUGGAGAGAUUCUUGAGGAGCAAGCUAGAUAUUGAAAAGAGAGAACGAGACAGAGAGAGCUGCAUUGAGAGGGAGGGAUUUCUUUUAAGCUGAGGCUGGUUGCUGCAGAGAGAGUGGAGGCUGGCAGAGGAGUUUUGGAGAGAAAGAGAAGGGUUUUUGGAGAGAAAGAGAAGGGGUUUUGGAGAGAAAGAGAAGGGUUUUUGGAGAGAAAGAGAAGGAGUUUUGGAGGGAACAGAGAGCUAGAGGGGGAGGAAAAACACUAGGAAGAAAAACAGAGAAAUCAGAAGAGACGGUUUUGGGUAGAGGAGGUUAUCAAGAACCAGAAGAAAAGGGCCUCCAGGUUCUUUUUGAGGGGUAAGUUUUCCACUGUGUUCUUGUUCUUUCUUUUUCUCUUCAUAUAUUGUUGUUGAGAUGCAUUGUUGUUGAUCUUUGGAUGGGUUAUACUCUGUUCUUCAUGGUUGACUGCUCCCCUUUUGCUUCUGUUUAUGGCUGAAAAUUGAUUUAAAUCCAUUUUUACCUUCUUUGUGGCAUUUUAAAGAAAGAAAAAGACCUUUUAAUUCACCCAUCUGCAAACCCACUAAUGAAGAGGUGAAGCAUAGUUCUUCAUGCUUCAUCUCAUUUUUCUUCCUCCAUGGCUCUGUUUUUGCUACUUUUCUCUCUGCUCUUCGUGUUUGGACUUUCUUGGAUAUGAAGCCGUAAUGGGGAGUGAGGCUAUGGGAUGACGAGACAGUGAGGGAUUUGGACUCCUUGAAUCCGUUUAUCCUGUAAAGGCUACUAAGGGCUUGGUAGAUCAAUGUUUGAGCAUAUGAACAGAGAGUGGUCUACACCGGGGAUACCAUUAUUGCCAGUGAUCCGUGUGGCAGAGGUUAGUGGGCUGUAGAGAGGGGAUCCUUUCUGACGGAGCAAAGGAACAAGAGAUGAAUUCAUGGGUUUUCUGAAUUGUUUUCACUAAGAAGGAGUUCACCCAGUACUCUUAGGCCUAAGAAGCUCGGCAUUUCUUUGCAAACAUAAGAAGCACAGGCUGGAACUAUGGAGGCCAUAGGUUUUACAUGGUAAAAAAGUGGGUUGACUGAGGAAUUGAGAAAGAAAUAAAGCAAGCAAAGCCGUCAUCGAAUGACGCCGGCGGCGAAGCGCCUCCACUUUGACUACGUCGUGCCCUCAGUUAUCGACUCUAACCACCGCUUCUCUAGUCUACGCGUGUCGCCGGAAGACUUGACGCUGAUCGUUUCUCUGCCUCUCUUUAUUUUCGGCUCUGUCAGGGGUCGAAACUCAUCCUCCGCUGGCGAUUGCGACGAGUGUCUCUCCUAGCUUAAGCCUCACGAUCAGCUUCGGCUGUUCCUGAUCUGCCGUCACGCUUCCCAUGCUCUAUACAUCAACACGCUGCUGGCAUCCAGUCAGGCAUGUCCUUGUAUCGUGUUCCGCAGGGAAUUCUGGGCCUGAUCUGCUCACUGUGGUGAGUGUCGCGCCAUGGAUUUUAACUGAUGGUGUCCCGACGAUUGACAAGAAGUUUUCCGGUGGAUGUGGUUCUUGGCGACGGAAGAAUCUUCGGUGGUGUGUCUAUGUACUUCGGCGAUCCUCUAAAGGACACUAAUCUCCCCAUUAGUUUACGCUGGUGACUGUGGAAGCAGAUUCCGCUUCAUCGGAAAACCCAAUCCUUCUCAAGUGCCUGGAAAAGCAGUCAUUUGUGAUCGGAACUUCACCUCGGCGCCCAAAGUCGCAGCGUUCUCCAACUGGUUUAGACAUCGACGAGAGACAAGUUGAUUUUAAUAUAAUUUCUGGCACGUCCAUUGCAUGUCCGUACGUGAGUGGAAAUAGCGACUGUGGCAGUGUACCCAAACGGCUUCACCACUCUCAAGCAUGAUGCUCUGAGAGUUGAAUUGAAAUGGAGGGGCGUUCUCAUAUUGCAAUUGUUGUUCCUAGAACUGAUGAGUCAAUCAGUAAAUUGGUUCAGCAACCUCAGAAGUUAAUAGAUCUCCGUGAGGUUCGCGAUAUUACUCAUAUGCCAUUUGCAGAAAGAGAUGACUGAAGGGAAACGGGUUCCUCUGAAUAUUACUAAAUUUGAUUAUGAAUGUUUGAGAAAGACCGCUGACAGUCAAGCAUAUUAAGGGGAUCCAUAUAAAGAAUUGUGGGUGUCCUUUGUUGACCGAGUUGGUCUUAGUCACAGAUAUCCUCAUCCAUGGCUGCUGAUAUAUCUCCUAAUUCUUCUUGAUGCUGCGGAAGAUAUUGUUGAAAUAGGAAAAACUGGGUGGAGAGAUCAAUUGUUACUCUGAUUUGAUUUUGGAUUGAAAAGGGAUGGGUUCAUUCAUGGAGCAUGUUCUGCCAGGAACGCUGUUUCUAGCAGUGAGUUUGUGGCACAUAUGCAGCGCAGUGGUGAGAUUUGUGAUGAACCCAAAGGGGUUUCAGGUUCGGGUUUUGAACCCAGUGUCUGGUUUUGAUGGAAGGCUUAGAUACUUGGAGCUUUAUGUGGUGGCAAUCGGAGCUUUUAUUGAUAUGUGCAUAGAGUUUUUGUAUUCAACUCAUCUCAAGUUCUUUGUGAAUGGGGUCUUGAACCCAUCUCACACGAAUGACUUUGAGCACUCUGGGAUGCUUCUCAUGUUCUUUAUUUUCGGGGUCGUCGCCUUGUUCUCCCAGCAAACCGGGCUUGUUCAAAACUGAAUAACCAAUGCUCAAUAGCCUUCACAUAGCUCCAUUCUGCCCUCACAUACUUCCAGCGCGUGACUUGUUUGAAUGAGAGCGACUUUUAUUGCCAAACAGUUACUUGGGGAACCGGUGACGUUACUCCUAUUGCAGGAUUGCUUGGCAAAUCUCAAUUCCAGAUUCACUUAGGAGGGAUCCUUGGCUGCUAAUUGGAAGGCUUCAAGACAGAAGGAAGCGAAGAGUGAUGAUACCAGGGAAGUGACUCAAUUAUCUACUCUACACUUGCCCGCUCAUGGCCCCAAAAUCUCAGAAGUGGUCAAGAAGUUGGAAGACUGCAUGUUCUGAAAUUGACCUAGCCUUUCAAAUCGGGUUCCCUACAUUGAAAUAAGAAGCAGUAGCAUGAGUUAUCCUCCAGAAUGGCUCUAUUCUCUGCAUGGUGCAUGGCCACCUUUGGGCCACAGUGCCAUUUCCCAUUUCACCAUCUCUAAUUUUGAAAAAUAUUCUUUUAAAUCCCAUUCUUCAAAUAAUUUUCUAGAUUUUAGUUUGUUUUAAAAUAAUUUCAAACUCGUCCACUUUUCAUCUUUAGUUUCUUUUUCUUAGAUUCCAAAAAUCCAUUUUUCCAAUAAAAUUUUGCUACCACUUUUCUUCCUAGCAAGCCAUUUUCAUAUCUCUUCUGUUUUUUUUAAAUUGUUUUGAAAUAAGCAAGAAUUAAUUCCGUAAUUCCGAAUAAUGGAAUUUAUGGAAUUAAUUCAUGCUAAGAUAAAUGGGCUUUGGUGGGGGCCCAACAUAUGAGAUUUUAUGAUUGAUUGACUGAUUGAUUGAUUCAUUAGCUAUAUGUGAUUGAUUUAUUCUGUUCCUUGGUAUACACAUUAUCCUUCUGUGUUUGUUCACUAACCCUGUUUCUGAUAGCACGUUACGGCUCGUGGCCCCGGUACGCACUCUCUAUACCUAUUCUGUUUCUCAUAUGUGCAUAAUUGAUUCGAGUAUUCAUUGCUUUCCUCAUCAAUUGCCACAUCAGCUUCAUUUUAUUAGUAGAGACCCGAUUUUAGGGACUUAGAGGGGUGCUAUGGUCUUUACCGUACCUUCCCGAUAAGUAACCUGACCCCCGAACCCGAUCCGGUUUUUCGUAGAUCACCUUUUCCAAAUAAGGAGUCACACUUAGGGUUUUUCUUUCUUAUUUUGUUUACCCUUUUAAAAAUAAAACAAAAAUACAGCUAAAAUCGAGCUCGCCAUUGAGUGGGAAACGCAUUGAGAUAGAUCGAAAUGCGGGGUCCACAACGCGUUCUUUUAUUCUCUUUAGUUUUAUAAAAAAGAUGGUAAAAAUGUAGUGAUCUUCUUUUAGUUUCUGUUUUAUAAGUGAGAGGGGACUAAGAUAGUAUUUAUUUUUUGACUGAAUAUAAAAAAUCAAAAUAUAUACAAAUUUACUUUAAUUAUAUUGGACGAUGUUAAUAGGUUACUUUUAGCUAAAUAAAAAAAAAAUCAAAACCUUAGAAAAAUAUUUUAAGUUUUAUUUACUCAAAUCAAUGUUUCCAAAAAUAUCCUUAUUGUCAAAACUGACUUAAAUGAAAAAUAAAUAAAAAAAUAUAAGCAAAAAACAAUUUAAUAGUUUUUAAAAAUAUUAUUAAAUCAUCAUUUGGUUCCCUUUUAUUCUGUCACUUUAAUUCUUUAAAACUAAAUUUAAUUCUUUUAUAACAAUAGAACAUAGGGGCCUAAGGUUGGAAAAUGACAAUUUACCCUAUUUGAAAAAAGAAAAAUUAUAUAUUCAUUUCUAGCCAAAAACAACUUUAUAUGUAAUUGUCAUUUUUUAUCAACCCCCACCGCUGAUGCAAAAGCCUUAACCUUGAAUGGAAUUUUAAUUUCAAAGACAUUUAGCACAUAGGAUAAAAAUUGUGCAUUUCAAUGAUCAAAGCUUCAUAUCUUAAAAGGUAGGUAAAUUUUAAAAUUCAACUAAGUUAUGUCUUCAAAAGACAAUAUUUAAUUGGAUUCUUUCGAGGUGUCAUAGAAUUAGAAAUAUUUUUUGAAUUAUUAUAUUUUAAAAAAUAUAUUUUUUUAAAUUGCCUUACUUUGUUCAAAAUGCCAAGAAGCAGGCAUAGGAACUAUAACAAAGCUCCAUCUCUAUUAGGGUACCAGAGAGGAUGAAUUGAAAAGGCUAGGAAAAUCUAAUUCCAGAAACUUCUACUUGCAUAAGAUACAGAGUGACUACAGAAUAUGCUCAAUGGCAUAGACAAGGAGGCCACACAUGCUUGCUUAUUUAGAUGGUGCAACAUGACAAUGAAAACUAGCAGGACCAGAAAUUACCUCUCACACAAACUGGUCAAGGUACUCAUCCACAGUUGUGUAUUUGACAUCGGGAUAUAGCUCUGAAGCCUCCACUCCAAAUGAUGGCUUGAUCUCAAAGUUGGUGUGGUCUCCCUUAAUGAAAACAGAGUGACUGAUAGAUAAUAUCACAUUGAGUGGAAAAGAGGCUUCUGCAAGAAACACAGGAAAAGCCAUUAAUUUGAAGAUAUUUGUCAUCAUUAAGAUUAUGUUUGGUUUCCAAAAAAUUUGAGGGAAAAUGCAAGAAAAGAAAAUAGAGAGGAAAAGUGGAAAGAAAAAAAAAGAAAAAAAAUAAAAAAAAUGGAUUCAAAAUCAAUAAAUUAUUUUUAAAUGCUAUUUCAAACUCAUUUCACCCAUUUCCCCCUAUUAUAUAAAGAUUAAACAAUUUUAAAAUGUAUAAAUUUUUAAUUAAUUUUAAUUAUAAUUUAUUUUCUUUCAUAUUUUCUAUAAUGAAACCAAGCAUGAGAAAACUAUUUUCUUUAAUAUUUUUUUUAUUUCCUUAAUACUUUCCGAGAGCCAAACAUAGUCUAAAAGAUCAACUAUAUAAACAGGGGCCAAAAAAUGGCCUCAAUGGUAAAAAAAUUAUCCUAUGUAGGAACCUUCCCAAACUUAUUUUUCAAACUAGAACUCUUGAUGCCAUCUACGCCCCAUUUUUAUUUUAUUUUUUUCCUUUUUAGUCAUAAGUUGAAAAUGCAUUUCUGAUUUUAUAAAGAAGUCAAAUUUUGAGCAAUGGUUUGAAACAUGACCCAAACUCAAUAUUAUUUGACCAAAACAGGCCUUUUUUUUAUCCAAAAUUCAUAUAAACACGUAAUGCUUGCAAGUUCAACCAACUCCUCUUUCUUUCUUUUCUUUUAUUCCCUUCAUUUUUCAAAUCCAUUGAGCAACUGCAAAUUGUUAGUCUGUCAUAUGAAUCUCUAAGGAAGACCCUAAUUGAGGUCUGGGGCACGAUCAAAUGAUUUUACCAGCAGGCCACCUAAUAUUUUCUAAGUUAAAACAAUUGAAUCAAGAACCAAUUUCAUUUUAACAAGGUAGCAUAACGAGAAUGUUUCAUUCCCAAUCUCUAUUCCAAUUUAAAUUAACUAGGAAAACCAAAGUAUGAACACUUUUAAAAAAAGAAAAUAUUUCUCACUAACCUUGGAUGUUCUUCAGAACUUGCUCCUCUGGAACAUAAAUCUUCUCAAGGGUUUUUCCAAUCUUCUUUUCCCAUAAGGAGAGAAUUUCGUUGAAUGAGUAGGUGUUCUGAGGAGGCCUGAUGUAAAGGAUUUUGUUCAAGGCUCUAGGAUCAUCCGCAGCUUUAAUAGUAUAGGUGCCAAUGUCAUCCUCCUUGUUAAAAACAGCUGGAGAUGCAAAAAUGAAAUGAGUAAAAUAAAGUAGAAUCAUCUUCUCAUUCCUUCAAGCUUGGACUACUUGGAAAUUCCACUUUUUUUGUUUGAAGAACACAAACUUGAAAUUAUUUUGAUGUGAAACCAAGUUAUUCUUUUUCAUUUAAUGCUUAUGUCAAAAACUCUCAGCUGGAAAGCAACCCAAGAGGACUGUCAAUAUAAAAAAGAGGCUUUAGCCCAUCCAGUUCAGUUUAAAAUCAAAUAAUAAUGAUUAAUUACUAAAAAUGCAUAAUGGUCCCUUCAGUUCAACCACUCCAGGCCACAUGGAUCAUGCUAGUUUCCUGGAUUAUGGCUCACUUGUAAUGUAGCACCCAAGCAGUUGACCUCAACUGUUGGAAGGUUUUGUUUCUGGGUGAACAGGUUUAACCAGCUGGGGAAGGGGGGAGUGGAGAGGGGUUGUCCAGGUUUCAAAUAGCCACAUUCUGAUUUUCAGGAAUACGGACCAUUCUCACCUCAACAACACUGGCAAACCCAUCAAUUUUUCUGCCUGGAGAAGAUAAUAUGCAGCUAUUGGUUGGUGAAAUGGUAAAUUAACACUCUCAAAAGGAUCCCAUGCUCAUUUACAUAACCCACUGAUUAGUAUUACUUUUUAAGCCCACUAUCAUCAGAUGUCACUGAUUAUAUGAGCCAGUGCAUUCUAACAUCAAAAGGAGAAAAUGCAAUGGGAAAUUCAGUUGUUGGAUGAUUUUCAGAGGUUGCUUACCUUUUGGAUUCCCAUCUCCCAAAAUAAUAACUUUAUCCCUGGGGGGAGCGGUGGCUCCAGGCUGUGAUAAUGUAGGAAGGAAAAAGCCAGCAAAGAAGUUGGAGGACACAUAGGUGUAGGGAAUUCCUUCAGCCUCAAUAGUUCGGCGGAUUUGAGCCUUUAUCUCAAAUGCUGUUUUUGCUGGCCCAACCGCAUGGACACGGUCCACAUCAUUUCCAAACUCUGAUGGGAAGAAUCUCUGGAUGAAAUAAAACACUUUAAGAAGUAGCUGUAUAACUCAAUAGAUUGAAAAACCAGUCAUAUCUAUUUAGUCAUAUUAGCUCACAAACAGGGAUCCCAUAUGGGAUACAAGUGUUCAAAUAAAGACAUAAAAUUAGCAAUUCAUAUUAUGGAAGGAAAAAGUGCACUGAUCAGGAUGCUUAAAAAGUGAAAGAAAAAAC
rnacentral:lncRNA from 1 species